AUGGCACUGCAUUUGUCCUGCCAUGGCAAAAUGCAGUUGUGCAUACAUGGCAACCCAGGAUUAGCACUGCAUUUGUCCGAGGCAUGGAAAAUGCAGUUGUGCAUGCAUGGCAACUGCACCUGUCCAAUCAUGGCAAAUGCAGUUGUCCAGGCAUGGCAACUGCAUUUGUCCUAUGUUCAUUCUCCUGAAUCACUGUCCACAAAUUCACUUCGGUCGUCUCACCUGUGUUCGAUGUUGAUGGCAGGUACAUGGUUGCCACCUGUUGCCAUGCGCUACAUGAAGGCCCUGCGUUUUUCCAUAUAA
rnacentral:rRNA from 1 species